CUUUUUACAAUAUUGGGAUCUUUUCCCACUUACAUGAACAUUCAUACUUUGUUUGUCCAAAACACCAACAAACCCUAGGAAUAUGCAUGAGAUUAAGAGAAGGAAUGUUGGUUGUGCACAACCGUCUCACAAAGGAAGGAUCAAAGCCAGGCAGAGCAGUGCAGUGCCAAUCCAGAUGAGCAGGGCCUUUUUCUAGGUUCUAAACACAAGGGAUUUGCUGAAUUGCAGAGGUGAUUUGUUAAGACACAUACCUUUGAUAUUUGAAAGAACUGUUUACAGAAGACUAUUGAAUUGCACAGGAUUGAUGAUUAAAAGAUUCAACUACAGUUCAAUGAGGCUCAACAUAUUGUGAUGCCAAUAUUGUGCUCUUGAGUAGGAAGAUCAAAAUGAUUGUAGCAAAUGGACAUAAGUAAAUAACGUGCCUUCAAAUUGACCAACAUUUCUGAAGUGAAGGAUGACAACUUAGCCUCUAUUUGUUGGGAAAUUUUAUAGCCAUGUUUGAACCUAAAGAACAGAUAUACAAAACCUGAAUGACAGAUGAAAUAAUAAGACAUGAUAAAUAUAAGAAGACUCUGAACAAUCUGAAAACUGUAAAUUCAGGAAUUACAUGUAUGUGACAGAAGUUUUUAAAAGCAUUUGAAUGUUGAGAUUGGUUGAGUAUCUCAAUGAUAAGAACUUGCAUUCUGAAAUCAGAAUUUGGAAGAGCUUUUCCUGAAUUAACAUAAAUAAAUCUCUAAUUUGGUCAGUUACUUUUAAAAAUAUUAUAAUAAAUGAAUGCAAUAAUUUG